AGCGAACGCUGGCGGCAGGCCUAACACAUGCAAGUCGAACGAACUCUUCGGAGUUAGUGGCGGACGGGUGAGUAACACAUGGGAACGUGCCUUUAGGUUCGGAAUAACUCAGGGAAACUUGUGCUAAUACCGAAUGUGCCCUUCGGGGGAAAGAUUUAUCGCCUUUAGAGCGGCCCGCGUCUGAUUAGCUAGUUGGUGAGGUAACGGCUAACCAAGGCGACGAUCAGUAGCUGGUCUGAGAGGAUGGCCAGCCACACUGGGACUGAGACACGGCCCAGACUCCUACGGGAGGCAGCAGUGGGGAAUCUUGCGCAAUGGGCGAAAGCCUGACGCAGCCAUGCCGCGUGAAUGAUGAAGGUCUUAGGAUUGUAAAAUUCUUUCACCGGGGACGAUAAUGACGGUACCCGGAGAAGAAGCCCCGGCUAACUUCGUGCCAGCCGCCGCCGUAA
rnacentral:rRNA from 1 species